GUUUUUGUAGCUUAAGAUAAAGCACAGUGCUGAAGACGCUGGGAUAAUCAGAGAUUCAAAAGCA
rnacentral:tRNA from 1 species